rnacentral:rRNA from 1 species
GUACACGCUGUGACUAGCAUAUCAAUAAGCGGAGGAAAAGAAACUAACAAGGAUUCCCCUAGUAACGGCGAGUGAAGCGGGAAGAGCUCAAAUUUGAAAUCUUAAAGGGUUUCCCUUUACGAAUUGUAGUUUAAAGAAGUGUUUUCUGUUGAGGUUUUGGUAAAAGUUCUUUGGAAUAGGACAUCAUAGAGGGUGAGAAUCCCGUAUUUGACCUUUACUUUCAACUUUGUGAUACACUUUCAAAGAGUCGGAUUGUUUGGGAAUGCAGUCCAAAAUGGGUAGUAAAUUUCAUCUAAAGCUAAAUAUUGGCGAGAGACCGAUAGCGAACAAGUACCGUGAGGGAUAGAUGAAAAGAACUUUGAAAAGAGAGUUAAACAGUACGUGAAAUUGUCAAAAGGGAAGCGUUUGACACCAGUGUUGUUUUUCUGAAAAUCAAUUAAAGAACUGUUUAUGCUAAGCUGUUUAGACUUUAUCAGCUAACUGUUUAGUUUUGAGCUUUUCUUUAAUGCACUUUUCAGUUAACAAGUCAACAUCAAUUUCUUUUGUUGUAAAAAAGCUUGAGGAAGGUGGCUUGAGAUUCGUCUUAAGUGUUUAUAGCCUCUUGCCUAUGCAGUCGGAGAGAUUGAGGUCUGCAGCGUAGAUCCUUCGGGGCUAAAUGCAUUUGUGCUAAGUUAUAGCAUUUUAUAGACAACUUGUUGACUAUGAUUUGUCUUGUAGCUUACUCGCUUAUGUUAUUUUACCUACGCUUUAGGAUGUUGAGUCGUAGAGCACGCAG